rnacentral:piRNA from 1 species
UCCCAGAUGCUUCUGUGCUGGAGGAGCCUA